GCCAGAAUGGUGUAGUGGUUUGAAGACUGGAGUAUGAUUAUAGAGGACAGGGUUCAAAUCCUUGUUCAGCCA